rnacentral:rRNA from 1 species
GAUGAACGCACAAGACGUGCCUAACACAUGCAAAUCGAAUGAAAAUUAUUGUUUUCAUGGUGAACGGGUGAGUAACACAUAAGAAUCAGCUUUUAGAUAAGGCAUAAAAGAGUAAUAUCUUGGUAAUUCCUUAUAUGCGCAGCAGUGCUUAAAAAGGGGAGUCCCGUCUAAAAACGAGCUUAUGCCUGAUUAGCUAGUUGGCGAGUUAAAAGCUCACCAAGGCGAAGAUCAGUAGCUGGCCUGAGAGGGCGGCCAGCCACAUUGGGACUGAGACACGGCC